rnacentral:rRNA from 1 species
UACGGGGGGGGCAAGCGUUGUCCGGAUUCAUUGGGCGUAAAGAGCUCGUAGGCGGCUGCUCAAGUCGAAUGUGAAAACUCGAGGCUCAACCUCGAGCCUGCAUUCGAUACUGGGCGGCUAGAGUCUGGUAGGGGGAUCUGGAAUUCCUGGUGUAGCGGUGGAAUGCGCAGAUAUCAGGAGGAACACCGGUGGCGAAGGCGCUGCUCUGGGCCGGUACUGACGCUGAGGAGCGAAAGCGUGGGUAGCAAACAGG